CAGCAGCAGCCGCGGUAAUACGUAGGUGGCAAGCGUUGUCCGGAAUUAUUGGGCGUAAAGGGCUCGCAGGCGAUUUCUUAAGUCUGAUGUGAAAGCCCCCGGCUCAACCGGGGAGGGUCAUUGGAAACUGGGAAACUUGAGUGCAGAAGAGGAGAGUGGAAUUCCACGUGUAGCGGUGAAAUGCGUAGAGAUGUGGAGGAACACCAGUGGCGAAGGCGACUCUCAGGUCUGUAACUGACGCUGAGGAGCGAAAGCGUGGGGAGCGAACAGGAUUAGAUACCCGUGUAGUCCCUGUCUCUUAUAA
rnacentral:rRNA from 1 species